rnacentral:misc_RNA from 1 species
AAACCCCAUGCUCCAAUUCUCCAAACGCCUAGCCUCCAAAGGACUCAAAGUCACACUACUCUCCUUCACAGACAAAGAGUGGAGAAAAGCUGCAGAACAUGGCUCUGUUAAUGUCCAGAUAAUUUUCGAUGAUACUCUUUUUGCUGAAAUUACUGAUCAAGAAGAUACUGUGUAUAUAAAUAACUUGUAUGCUACAGUGAAGCGCAGAUUACCAGAAGUCGUUGCUAAACAUGGUGAGUCUGGCUACCCAAUAAGUUGCCUUGUCUAUGACUCGUUGAUGCCUUGGGCUCUGGAUAUAGCCACGGAGCUGGGGCUCCUUGGAGCUACUCUCUUCACGCAAUCUCUUGCUGUUAGUAACUUAUAUUAUGAAGUUCAUCAAGGAAAGCUAAAGGUUCCUGUUGAGAAGACAGCUGUAGCAGUAGAAGGGAUGCCGCCACUUGAAAUCCAUGACCUACCCACUUUCCUUUCCGACUUGGAAAGCUACCCACUCUUAUUAAAACUAAGAGCUGGUCAGUUUUCCAAUAUUGGAGAAG